rnacentral:rRNA from 1 species
GACGAACGCUGGCGGCGUGCUUAACACAUGCAAGUCGAACGGAAAGGCCCUGCUUUUGUGGGGUGCUCGAGUGGCGAACGGGUGAGUAACACGUGAGUAACCUGCCCUUGACUUUGGGAUAACUUCAGGAAACUGGGGCUAAUACCGUAUAGGAGCUCCUGCUGCAUGGUGGGGGUUGGAAAGUUUCGGCGGUUGGGGAUGGACUCGCGGCUUAUCAGCUUGUUGGUGGGGUAGUGGCUUACCAAGGCUUCGACGGGUAGCCGGCCUGGGAGGGUGACCGGCCACAUUGGGACUGCGGUACGGCGCAGUCUCCUACGGUAGGCAGCAGUGGGGAGUAUUGCACAAUGGGCGGACGCCUGAUGCAGCAACGCCGCGUGCGGGAUGACGGCCUUCGGGUUGUAAACCGCUUUCGCCUGUGACGAAGCGUGAGUGACGGUAAUGGGUAAAGAAGCACCGGCUAACUACGUG